GGGACCAUAGCUCAGUCGGUUAGAGCCGCGAACUCAUAAUUCGCUGGUCGCGGGUUCGAGCCCCGCUGGUCCCACAA
rnacentral:tRNA from 4 species